UACAGAGGCCUCGAGCGUUAGGCGGAAUCACUGGGCUUAAAGCGUGUGUAGGCGGAGUUCUAAGUACCUUGUGAAAUCCCACGGCUCAACCGUGGAACUGCUUGGUAUACUGGUUCUCUUGAGGUACCUAGGGGCGAGCGGAACAAGUGGUGGAGCGGUGAAAUACGUAGAUAUCACUUGGAACGCCAACGGUGAAAACAGCUCGCUGGGGGUAUCCUGACGCUGAGACACGAAAGCCAGGGGAGCAAACGGG
rnacentral:rRNA from 1 species